GGGCUUGUGGUACAGUGGUAGCACGUUCGCUUAGCAUUGAUCCACGUGCAUGCGAAAGGUCCUGGGUUCAAUUCCCAGCAAGUCCA
rfam:Schizophyllum commune H4-8 unplaced genomic scaffold SCHCOscaffold_1, whole genome shotgun sequence.